AGCUUUGCGCAGUGGCAGUAUCGUAGCCAAUGAGGUUUAUCCGAGGCGCGAUUAUUGCUAAUUGAAAAAAUAUGUCAUUUCAGGGGUGCCUGAGUGGCUCAGUCGGUUGGGCGUCUGCCUUCGGCUUGGGUCAUGAUCC